rnacentral:rRNA from 1 species
UGGGCGUAAAGCGCGCGCAGGUGGUUUCUUAAGUCUGAUGUGAAAGCCCACGCCUCAACCGUGGAGGGUCAUUGGAAACUGGGAGACUUGAGUGCAGAAGAGGAAAGUGGAAUUCCAUGUGUAGCGGUGAAAUGCGUAGAGAUAUGGAGGAACACCAGUGGCGAAGGCGACUUUCUGGUCUGUAACUGACACUGAGGCGCGAAACCGUGGGGAGCAACCAGGAUUAAAUACCC